AUCCAGCUAACGAGUCCUAAACAGGACGAAACGCCCAGCCUGGAU
rfam:Schistosoma mattheei strain Denwood, Zambia genome assembly, scaffold: SMTD_contig0007495